UACGUAGGGUGCAAGCGUUGUCCGGAAUUAUUGGGCGUAAAGAGCUCGUAGGCGGUUUGUCGCGUCGGCUGUGAAAACUCGGGGCUCAACCCCGAGCCUGCAGUCGAUACGGGCAGACUAGAGUGCGGUAGGGGAGACUGGAAUUCCUGGUGUAGCGGUGAAAUGCGCAGAUAUCAGGAGGAACACCAAUAGCGAGGGCAGCUCGCUGGGACGUUACUGACACUGAGGCGCGAAAGCGUGGGGAGCGAACAGG
rnacentral:rRNA from 1 species